rnacentral:rRNA from 1 species
UACAGAGGGGGCAAGCGUUGUUCGGAAUUACUGGGCGUAAAGGGCGCGUAGGCGGCCUGCUAAGUCGAACGUGAAAUCCCUGGGCUCAACCCAGGAACUGCGUCCGAUACUGGUUGGCUUGAAUCCGGGAGAGGGAUGUGGAAUUCCAGGUGUAGCGGUGAAAUGCGCAGAUAUCGGAAGGAACGCCGGUGGCGAAAGCGGCGGACUGGACCUCUUCUGACGCUGAGGCGCGAAAGCCAGGGGAGCAAACGGG